AAUCGGAUCACUUACUACCUUUAGAUUGCAUGUGCUAACUUCAAAAUCCAAUAUCUCCUUUAUUCCAACUUGAGAUCUAACAAACAUUAUAUAAAAAAUGUGGCCACAAAAGUGCUCUCUCGAGUCACAGUUGCGGAUCCUCAAUUACCCUCCGUAUGCAUGCGUUGUGUCAAAAAGAGUGACAGUAGCUCCCAAAUCAAUACCUUAACUUUGAGCGCCUAUAUCUCCUUCAUAUAAAUACCAAAUCAUAUAAGAUUUUUACCGAAAUCAAAGCGAAAAAUCUAAACUUAUU
rnacentral:lncRNA from 1 species